rnacentral:tRNA from 1 species
GCCGUGUUACCUUAGCGGGGAGGAGGGUCAGUCUUGAAAACUGUUGUGCCUAUGGCACUGGGGGUUCGAAUCCCUCACACGGCGCCA